GUCCCUGUAACGCGAUGGAUAGCAUGUUGGACUUCUAAUCCAAAGGUCGUGGGUUCGAUCCUACCUGGGAUG
rnacentral:tRNA from 1 species